UAACCCUCUUCUCUCGUCUCCCUCACACCAGCCACGAAGGUUUUCAAAGGAAAUAUGACUCGAAAAUAUCUUAGAGUGCCAUGAAAGCUGAAGGACAAAGCUAAAAUCCACCUAAGAGCACACCAAACAGGAUCAACAAGAAUCGAAGAUGCCUGUCCUGUUUCAAAAGCAAGGGGAGGAGCCCAAGGCAGAUCUGUUAUCAUUUGUCUUUCCUCUUCAUUACAAGAAAAGAAAAAGAAAAGGAGAAAAGUUGGAAAGCGGCUCAGUAAAAGAAAGGACUGACCACCCCUUCCGAUAGCAGGAACUGAAAGUUGUCUGUUACCUGUAACCCUUCGGUUUAUGGUGGAUUUCGACUCUGUCUCAAUCAGUAGAUCUCCAUCCCUAACCACCACUUCCAUGGGCUCCCCUAACUUUAAAGAGCUCUUCUUUAGUCUACAACGGACUGGGGGGAAGGGAGUCCAAGCUAAGGAAUGCUAGAAGAAACAUGUGAAACAAACUCAUUUGUGAGUAAGCAAGCAAUUGCCUUCCCUUAAAAACUGCCUUCCUCUGCACUAUGAACCAAUAAAUGAUCUUGUAAAUGAGAACUGUUCCAUGUUAAGAGAAGCUCAGUGUAAUGUGG